rnacentral:rRNA from 1 species
CCGCCGCGGUAAGACGGAGGGGGCAAGCGUUGUCCGGACUCACUGGGCGUAAAGCGUGCGUAGGCGGUACGGAGCGUCGCCACUGAAAGCACCCGGCUCAACCGGGUGAGGUGUGGCGAUACGACCGAACUGGAGGCAAGGAGAGGUGUGCAGAAUUCCGGGUGUAGUGGUGAAAUGCGUAGAUAUCCGGAGGAAUGUCGGUGGCGAAGGCGGCACACUGGUCUUGACCUGACGCUGAGGCACGAAGGCGUGGGGAGCAAACCGGAUUAGAUACCCGGGUAGUCCACGCAGUAAACGAUGUCGGCUCGGUGUAUCGUGGUGGCAACACCAUGGUGUGCCCAAGCUCACGCGGUAAGCCGACCGCCUGGGGACUACGAGCGCAAGCUUAAAACUCAAAGGAAUUGACGGGGGCCCGCACAAGCAGCGGAGCGUGUGGUUUAAUUCGACGCAACGCGAAGAACCUUACCCAGGUUUGACAUGCAGCUGCAAGCGCACGGAAACGUGUGACCUUCGAGGGUGCUGCACAGGUGCUGCAUGGCUGUCGUCAGCUCGUGUCGUGAGAUGUUGGGUUAAGUCCCGCAACGAGCGCAACCCUUGCCGUCAGUUACAAGUGUCUGGCGGGACAGCCCUCGCUAUGGGGGAGGAAGGCGGGGAUGACGUCAAGUCAGCAUGGCCCUUACGCCUGGGGCGACACACACGCUACAAUGCCGACCACAAUGCGCUGCAACCACGCAAGUGCAAGCUAAUCGCCAAAGGUCGGCUCAGUGCAGAUCGGGGGCUGCAACUCGCCCCCGGAAGGCGGAGUUGCUAGUAACCGCGUAUCAGCCAUGGCGCGGUGAAUACGUACCCGGGCCUGCACACACCG